rnacentral:rRNA from 1 species
AGAGUUUGAUCCUGGCUCAGAUUGAACGCUGGCGGCAUGCCUUACACAUGCAAGUCGAACGGCAGCACGGGGGGCAACCCCUGGUGGCGAGUGGCGAACGGGUGAGUAAUAUAUCGGAACGUACCCUGUAGCGGGGGAUAACGCGUCGAAAGAUGUGCUAAUACCGCAUACGCUCUACGGAGGAAAGCGGAGGACCGCAAGGCUUCGCACUACAGGAGCGGCCGAUAUCGGAUUAGCUAGUUGGCGGGGUAACGGCCCACCAAGGCGACGAUCCGUAGCUGGUCUGAGAGGACGAUCAGCCACACUGGAACUGACACACGGUCCAGACUCCUACGGGAGGCAGCAGUGGGGAAUUUUGGACAAUGGGCGCAAGCCUGAUCCAGCCAUGCCGCGUGAGUGAAGAAGGCCUUCGGGUUGUAAAGCUCUUUCGGCGGGGACGAAACGGUUCGUGCCAACACCACGGACUACUGACGGUACCCGAAGAAGAAGAC